AAAGAAGUGAGACAUUCAGAGUUGUUGGCUACUGGAGAUUUUGGAAUGGGUCAAAUGUCAACUGAAGAGUAUGGAUUGAUUGAGCACAUUCUUUAGUAUGUGCUUUCCAUUGUAAUCUCACUGAACAACUUGCAUACUCUGUCCGGGAAACACACUGCAAGGCCACCCUUGGAGCCACCAACUGAUCCCAAACACAACGAUCUUUUUAUUGUACUGCUGUCGUGUGGCAUUUCUGCAGUCAUGCUGAUUAGGCCAACCUUAUCCCAGCUACCUGAAGGACAGUCAUGAUGGAGAAGAAUGUUUGGGCUGCUUCUCUCUGUGGAGACUCAUCUGACCAAAGCCCAAUUUGAUGAACGUUAAGGGCUGUAGGAUCCACUCUUCCAACUAGGUCCGCCCUGCUCUGAAGACCCACCUUCUUUUGGCUGGAAAAUGAAUCUGCGAACAUCUUUGAGAAGGAGUUACUGAACAUUGUGCAAACGACAGACAGCACUUAAGUUCCCAUUAGCUACCAGAAGAAAAUUCAAAGUUUAUUAACGAGUAGCUGAUUGUCUUUAUCGCACCGAGGCUUACGUCUUAACACCCAAGAAGGAAGGAGUGAAAUCUGCCUCAGUACUUCCAUGGAAUUCCUUCUCGAAGUUUGAUUCAAUUCCUGUUCAUGUGUAAGACAUAAGCCUUAUGCCAUGAAAUUCCCAUUUUAACUGGUUGUCGGCUGUAAGUUAAUAUGCAGACUUAUUUUGCUUCUCCCCCUCCACGCUUGUGCACAAUGCUUUGAAUGUUCUGUGUUUUCCUUGCCUUUGAUUGCCAAUCCAUCCCGGGCUCUCAUUUCCUCCUCUCCUGCCUUUUGGCCGGCAUAAUUUUGGAACUUAAAAAAAAAAAAAAUGCAUCCUCUGUCUUUUCUCAUAGGCUCCAUUUGCAUUUUAGUCGAUUUUGGACAUUUUUUCUACGAUGUAUUCAAUAUGCUUUAUUUCCUGUUUUUAUAAGCUUUAUAUAACUUCAGAAAAAUGUGAUCCAAGGCAUGUCUGGGUGAGAGGUGGCUGUUAUUUUUUUACUGUAACAUGGAAGAUAUUGACCUGCAGUGUCUACACUGGGCAUAACUGUUUGCAGAGUUGUCUUUUUUCCUUUUAAUUUUGUUUUUGAGAGAGC